GGAAUAUUCCACAAUGGGGGAAACCCUGAUGGAGCGACGCCGCGUGAGUGAAGAAGGGCUUCGGCUCGUAAAGCUCUUUUCUGAAGGACGAAUGGCCAUUUGGAAUGGCAGAGACGGUACUUUGGGAAUAAGCCACGGCUAACUACGUGCCAGCAGCCGCGGUAAUACGUAGGUGGCAAGCGUUGUCCGGAAUUAUUGGGCGUAAAGGGAGCGCAGGCGGGUUUGCAAGUCCAAAUUAAAAGUGCAGGAGUAAUGCCUGUGAUGGUUUGGAAACUGCAAGUCUUGAGAGCAGGAGAGGCAAGCGGAAUUCCCGGUGUAGCGGUGAAAUGCGUAGAUAUUGGGAGGAACACCAGUGGCGAAGGCGGCUUGCUGGACUGUGUCUGACGCUGAGGCUCGAAAGCCAGGGUAGCGAACG
rnacentral:rRNA from 1 species